UACGAAGGGGGCUAGCGUUGCUCGGAAUCACUGGGCGUAAAGCGCACGUAGGCGGAUUGCUAAGUCAGGGGUGAAAUCCUGGAGCUCAACUCCAGAACUGCCCUUGAUACUGGCGGUCUCGAGUCCGGGAGAGGUGAGUGGAACUGCGAGUGUAGAGGUGAAAUUCGUAGAUAUUCGCAAGAACACCAGUGGCGAAGGGCGGCUCACUGGCCCGGUACUGACGCUGAGGUGCGAAAGCGUGGGGAGCAAACAGG
rnacentral:rRNA from 1 species